CCGUUGCUCGGUCACUUCGUGAGUCAUCUCGCUAGGGUGUGAAUGCAUCUCGCUCGUGCACAUUUAAGGGAGUGGUCGACUCGUCUUCGCAGCAAGCAAUCCGUCGACGAGCGCGAGCUAGAUACAGUCUCACCGUUUGAGAUGGCAACGGAUGCGGGUGGAGGGACAGAGAGAAAGAGAGAGAGAGAGAGAAGAGAGAGAAAGAGUUGCUGUAAUGCAGGUGCAGACCAUACUUCAGGAUUUAUCUCCACAUGCCCUGGCCUUUGUUGUAUGUCUGUCUGUCAUCAAUUUGGUUUGUAAACCGUAUCGAAAACCAAACUACUUACUUUUGUCCUAGUAAACAUACUUAAAACGUAGGAUAUUUAUAGAGAAUGAAAAGAUUUUAAUUUUUACAUUAUUCAGUGAUACAUCGAGUUUCUUGUAAAUUUGUACAUAACUUAUAUAGUAUAAGAUUGCCUUCCAUUUUUUGUGAUAAUAGUUUUAUUAAUAUGUAGCAUUUAACUUUUUCUGAUCCUGAACAGUAUAACUACACCAAGAAAGGAUUAAUGUAAUCGAGAGCUAGUAAAAAAAUUCAUAAAAUUGCUGCAUUUUUUAAAUUAAAUUAUAAACACAUUUUAAAAUUUAUGUAGAGUUUCCAAAGAUUUGCCACGUGUGGCUUUUAAUAUGUUCCUAUAAUGUUUUAUGCUGUUUAGGAUUAAUAUAAUGACAAAAAGGAUCUCAGCAUAAUAAACUUAGAGUGUUAUUGUGAUACUUUUAAUUCAUAUUGAAUUUCCUUGUAAUACUGUGAUAUAGGUGAGAAGAAGGGAGUUAGGAGAAGCUGUAAAAUAAAUACAUUUUGCAAGUAACAAAGUAAAAUUUUUUUUCCUCAAUUUCUCUAUUCACCAAGUUAUUAAUACCAUCAAUCCUUUUCAGUUUGGCACAUAUAGAUCGUCCUAGAAAAUACGUCUUAGCGAAGCGAAGACUGUCCACAAGAACAACGUGGCCCUUAGAAAAUGUACCUAUAAGAUUGCAGUAUGAGAGAGAGAGAAAGCGAACGAGAGAGGGCCGAAGGGGAGUAUAUUUACGUUCAAAUGGAGAGGGAGGGAGAAAAUUUUUGUUUCUAGAAGCUGGUCGAAUUGGCGCGAAAUUACCCCCCUGCACUAGUCAUCGUCAUAGCGAGCUUGUCCGUGCGAUAAACUACAAGGCGGCUUCCGCUUGGCGUCCACAUUCUCCGAUAAAUGAGUCGGCCGUGUGCUCUCUCUCAUCCAGGUCUGGAAUGUUCUCAUUCAAUGCGUAACGAUAACGAUCUCCGAAUACGGAGAUACGCUCCCGUUUCCCCGAAGGUCGCAAGUAUACACUUCACUGAUAAGAUAAUUCUCCAUGCAAACAUGCGAAUGAUCUGUUUGAAAAUACUCCAAGAAUUGUUUCUUUCGUUUCUGAUGUCAUAUGUAUAUAUGUCCAGCGUAUGUCGCCAUAACAAUGUGUUCAUAGAUCAUCAACCGGCCACGCCGAGACUGCGUCUCCCGGGUAGGACGUUGAACGCGUAUGUUUUAGACCUGUAGAGGACGCAAGAGAAAGGCGUUUGAGGGAUAUCGGAGUCCGAGCGAGCGGCGGGGGCACGAAAAUCGUUAGAGUACGCGCACAAAGAUAUAUGUCAUAUGCGAGAAACAACGGAAGUAUUGUGUGGUCUCGGUUCGGUAAUGGUUUUAAAAUAGAAAUUGAUCUGCAUUUAGAUUUUGUAGAUGAUUGUGCAUCUUAAUGGUUUUUUUUUUCCUUUUUUUUUUUUUAUAUAUUUUAUGUCAAAUUUGUUGAUUGUGAGGAAACCGAAGAUCCCAGGAUCUAAAAGCCCGAAGAUUCGAGUGUCCGGCGACUCGGAAGGAUCUCCACGCGGGUCCAGGAAUCUGGACUACUCCAAAAAUUUCGGGUGGCACGGUAUCAAGCAUUCACACGGUAACCGUUAAUGUGUUGGAUCAUUUUCUCGACAACAUAAUUAGGUCACGGAGUUAUUUAUGGGAACGAAAAGGAAGAGGGGUUGAGAGUUGGGGGAGGGGGGGGGGAUAAAAAUAAGAAAUUCUUUUUGGCUACAGAAAGCAGUGUGUAUUUGGAAGGUUUUUCGUUUCGUUCGACCAGCAGCUCGUGGAGAAUUUGAAUUAUUCGAGAGUGUAUGCGGCAAAACGAAACCCAAACGAAAAUACUAUUUCGGACGGUCAAAUGCGAUCAAGUUGAACACCACUGCCGGAAGGAGGUUUGUUCGAUGGAGACGGCUUGAAAGAAAGAAUAAGGGAGAAUCUAGCGUAACGAGCUAUCGUUUUUUUUUUUCAAUACUAUGAUAAUUCAUAUAUCUAUAUGUAUACAUGCGAAUUGUUUUGCUCGGUUUUCUUUAUGUUUCACGUUGAUAGGCAGCAGAACGAAAGAACUGAAUGCCGAAUCCUUUCAAAAUUAAAGAAACGGCCCCGACGGGUUACUACCUACGCAUUUAAUUAAGUUGUAAGGCCAUGUAUUGCUUCAUAAUCAUCAUGGGAUCCCGAAUUUACGUGUUACGUGAGAAGAUAAUGAGAGACGGAGGGAUCGCCGAUGUCCUUUAUUUUCAUCUCUGCGUAUCCCUGCGCGCGCAAAUGUUAGAAGAGGGCCAAGACAGGAGGCGAACCAGUAUUUCUAUGAGUGACGGGAAAAUGCUGCAUCGUUUUGCGCAAUGAUCGUGAGGAAAAAUGGCAGUUGGGGGAAGCUUUGCGCGAGCUCUUUAUUUCAACAAGAAACUUUGGGAACUGCAAACAUCAUUGGUGUCAUGCUGUAUACUUAACAGGUCCUGGUGAGAAAUAUUUUCAUUGAAAUCCAUGAAACUUGCAGAAAUCGUGAAGCUUCUAUGAGGACACGUUGAGCUCAGGGAUGUACAAGUUUUAGAGGAAUACAAGGAUAAAUUACAUUUAAGGAAGCUUUAAUUAAGGAGAUUUGGGAAUCUAAGAGAGAUGAGACGUUAAUCAGGAUUUAAGAAAUCAACUCUGAAGGAUCUAGAAGCCCAAGAAUUGUUUCUCUGGAUAAUAUUCGAAAACCAUUUCAAAUUUUCAUCAUUAAUUUAAUCGGAACUAAAUUAUCGUAAGAAUUGUGUGUCCUUGAGAGUUUUAUUUUGUAGGGAAACAAGCGAGGAUAUAAUAUUUGCGUAAUAUGGGAUAACUUUAUAACCAAUAUAACAAAUAAUGAAUUUGAAAUUUUCAAAUUUGAAGAAAGGCAUUUGAAGAAACCCGCAUAAAACUUGUUAGAAGGUAUUUUUUUAAAAAAGAAAGGUAUAUCUCCACGUUAUUUCAAUAUGAUUUAGGCAGUAUGUGUGUCUGUUAUUGCAUUACGUUUAUAUUGGAUCAUGAUGGGGACAAGAUGGGGAGGGAGAAGGAGUGAGAGAGAGAGUGUGAGGGGGAGGGAGGGAGAAAUAUUACUUUAUUUUUUCACAGAGCACGGUCGUUCGAAUCCAUUCUGCAUCUGAAAUGACUAUUCAGUCACGGAAUAAGUAGUACGGUUUUAAGGCGACGAUUCUCAAUAUAAUGUAUCACUCCAUGCUAAGGGACUUCGAACGAGAAAGAGUUCAUGUAUUAUUCGGAUAAGCAAGUCAUUGUCUGUGCAAGUUUGGCGAGAAGUUCCAUCAACAGCUAUUAGCAGAGAAUCUCGUUACUCUUUCAAGAAGGACGCAAGAGAUAGGUUUAGAUUUACAACACAGAGGACGCAGCUGGAAAAUACAACUUUUUCGAAGAAAAUGCGAAUUAUAAAAUUUGACGAUAAGUUACACGAAUUUGGACAGAUGUCUUUUAAGCUUUGGGGAAAUUAAUAAGGAAGACGGAUGAUAAUAAUGACAAAAAUUAAGAGGAAGAUAAAUAACGUAAUUUGUUGAAAUGUAAUGGCUAUUAAGGAAACAAUGCUGAUUAAGUGGUGGGAGCAAAUAGCAGCUACAAAAACCAGAUAUUUAAGAAAAUUGUGUACUGAAAGAAAUUUAUGGAAAAGAAUUUACGAACAAUAGGAAUAUUUUUAAUAUUAAAAAUAGAAUUUGCAUUUAUAAAAUUGCCGAAAAUACGUAGAUUAUAGUUAUGUUCCUAUGUAAAAAUGCUGAAAUCAAUCUGAAGAAGCAAACAACAGACAAAACUUGAAAACAAAGAAAGAUAAACUUGGCAUUACUUAAAGAAGGGAAGGAAAGAUGAAUUGCAUGAUUUUGCGGAAUAUUCGGAGCGUUCAAAGGACAGUGCGUGAUAAUUGAAAUCUGAAGCCUUUAUAAGAUAAUCGCUUUUACCUUGAAAAGUACAUUUAAGGAUGCUUGAAGAUAUAAUAACAUGAAUUCAUUUUGAUCAUUUGUAUUUGCGCUUUUUGGUGAUCAUCGCAAAGAACUUUUUCCUAUUCGGAAGAGGCUGAAUCUUGCUCUUUGUUUGAGAUUUCGUAGCAGUCGUCAGUCAAGGACAACACGUUGGACAUUAUAUGCAGAUUUUGUACUCGAUUCUCUUCUCGUUAACCACCUUUGAGAUUUUCGAGGUUUUUUUGUGCACUGGAAUUCUUUACAUUUUGUACUUCACAUAAUAUUGAAUGACUGGAUAAUUCUUCAACUAAAAUCGCGAGAGAAGUUGGAUUUAUUCGGAUUAAUUCUUCAAUAAUAUUGCGGAAUAUGCAGAGUUCCAGAAAACGGCACAUCUUUUUUUCUAAGAAAGAUUUAUUUUUCCAAAUGUUAAGUAUAUGUAUAUGUGUAAUGAAAUGGCGUUAUUGCGGAAGAAAUAUUGGAUUUAAAAAAAAUCAAGAGAUUGACAUAAAGAAGAGCAACAAAAAACAAUAAU